rnacentral:rRNA from 1 species
UACAGAGGUCUCAAGCGUUUGUUCGGAUUCAUUGGGCGUAAAGGGUGCGUAGGCGGCGCGGUAAGUCGGGUGUGAAAUUUCGGAGCUUAACUCCGAAACUGCAUUCGAUACUGGCGUGCUUGAGGACUGGAGAGGAGACUGGAAUUUACGGUGUAGCAGUGAAAUGCGUAGAUAUCGUAAGGAAGACCAGUGGCGAAGGCGGGUCUCUGGACAGUUCCUAACACUGAGACACGAAGGCCCAGGGGGAGCAAAACGGG